GGUUUGAUAGCUCAGUUGGUCAGAGCGCUGCACCAAUAUCGCAGGGCCAUGGGUUCCCGCGGGUGAUCCCGUUAAUUCAAGCCU